ACGACUGAGAAGGAUGGCGGCUCUGGGUGUGUCAUAUAUGGCCUUUUAAAUGUUGAGGUACGUUCCCUCUGGGCUCACGUUCUGAAGGGUUUUUAUCAGAAAGAGGUGUUGGAUUUUGUCAAAGGCUUUUUCUGCACCUGUUGAGAGAGGAUGCACCUUGUUCACGACAAGAGCACAGCCACAAACCCCACAACUCUCUUCCCAGCAUGGCUCACACCUCCGGAAUCUGCCCCGACCUGGUAGGUCCACCAUGACCUUCUCUGGUCUCGGCUCUUACAUUCACGAUCCAUACUGCUAGGAAGCCCAAAGACACAGAGGAUCCCAGGGCAACAGAGUUCCUGUGCUGGCUCAGGGGGGUAAGAACCUGACAUAGGGGCCAUGAGGAGAUGGGUUCCGUCAUUGGCCUGACUCAAUGGGUUAAGCACCCUGCAUUUCUCUGAGCUGUGGUGUAGGUUGCAGAUGAGGCUCGGAUGCGGUGUGCCUCCGUUUGUACUGUAGACUGGCAACUGCUUUUCUGAUUCGACCCCUGGACUGGCAACUUCCAUGAGCAGAAGUUAUUCAUAAGAUGAAAAAAAAAAAAAAAAAAAAAAAAAACAAAGAAACAACAACAAAAAUGACUACCAGGCUCUCUUCCAGGAGGAGGUAAGGAUUAUUGUUUAGGAGUAUUUGUCUUGGUGUUUGGGCUCAGGGGAUCUGAGCGUGUGGCACAGAGGCAGGGCUCCACACAGAUCCCUCCAUAGGCCCCCACAUGUCCCAGCAUGCCUUGCAGGCCACCCAGGCAGUGCUGGUGCAGGGUCACCGGUGCAAAGGGGAAGGGAGUGCUGAUCCCACGGUGUUACAGGGAGAACCAAGAAGUGUCAACCCAGCGACAAGAGUUUCCCUGAGGUUCAGCCGGCUCUCGGCCGCCACUUAGGUGGAUCCGGCUUUGCACAGAUGAGCUCCUCCUGGCUGAACUGCUUUCUGCCCCUCAUGGCUCCUUUCUCCGUGGAGGUCUCUUGCACGUGCUGUCUUCUCUUCCUCUCCAAUACUCCCCCAAACCCCUUCCUUUGGGAGCCGUCCUCAGUGCACAGAGAAGGUCAAGGGGCCAUCAUCCCACAGACCACCAGGCACUGGAGUCAACACCACCUGGGACGUCCCAUUCCGUCCCCCCAUCCAACCCCACAGAGGGCGCCUUUCUGACAGCCCAGCAGAGGGGGGCGGGGUUCAAAGAUGUGG
rnacentral:lncRNA from 1 species